rnacentral:rRNA from 1 species
CCUGGCUCAUGGCAAGCGUUGUCCGGCUCUGAGCUUGAUCCUGGCUCAGGACGAACGCUGGCGGCGUGCCUAAUACAUGCAAGUCGAGCGCAGGAAGCCGGCGGAUCCCUUCGGGGUGAAGCCGGUGGAAUGAGCGGCGGACGGGUGAGUAACACGUGGGCAACCUACCUUGUAGACUGGGAUAACUCCGGGAAACCGGGGCUAAUACCGGAUGAUCAUUUGGAUCGCAUGAUCCGAAUGUAAAAGUGGGGAUUUAUCCUCACACUGCAAGAUGGGCCCGCGGCGCAUUAGCUAGUUGGUAAGGUAAUGGCUUACCAAGGCGACGAUGCGUAGCCGACCUGAGAGGGUGAUCGGCCACACUGGAACUGAGACACGGUCCAGACUCCUACGGGAGGCAGCAGUAGGGAAUCAUCCGCAAUGGGCGAAAGCCUGACGGUGCAACGCCGCGUGAACGAUGAAGGUUUUCGGAUCGUAAAGUUCUGUUAUGAGGGAAGAACAAGUGCCGUUCGAAUAGGUCGGCACCUUGACGGUACCUCACGAGAAAGCCCCGGCUAACUACGUGCCAGCAGCC